CAUGAAGCCGACCACAGCCACGCUAUUUCUGCUCUCAGCAACUCUUGUAGCGGCCCAAACGAACCUCCGGCCGCACGGGAUGGACUUGAUUCGCCUCUUGUCUUAUAAACCAUGGAUCAGUUGGGCUCAAACUCCCCGAGAUCGAUUACAGCGUGCCAACAUCCAACCUCAACAAGAUACCAAUCUUGAUAACCAGGACAAUGAUGAUCCUGUUAUCGAAAAUGAUGAUAUAAGUGCUGAGACUGCGAAGCGUUCCGCAGUUGCAACGGUGUUAAACGGCAGUCGUCGCCGUCGGCAGCCGA